UACUGUAUGUUGUCUGUUCGGCAUGAAUUACGAUUUGCUUGUUUAAAUGUGAAUUGAUGAUGCUUAUUGAGGAAAAGGGAAAUGAAACAUUGUGUAGACUGAUAAUUGUGUGAUGGGGUCAGCCUGACUAGAUAUUCUGGGAGAUGGUGGACGGACCGGGUCCGUAGGGAACCCUACCGGGAUUGUGGUCUCACAUGCCGGACGGGGCAUGG
rnacentral:lncRNA from 1 species